rnacentral:rRNA from 1 species
UACGGGGGGGGCAAGCGUUGUUCGGAAUUACUGGGCGUAAAGGGCUCGUAGGCGGCCAACUAAGUCGGAUGUGAAAUCCCCAGGCUUAACCUGGGAACUGCAUCCGAUACUGGAUGGCUUGAAUCCGGGAGAGGGAUGCAGAAUUCCAGGUGUAGCGGUGAAAUGCGUAGAUAUCUGGAGGAAUACCGGUGGCGAAGGCGGGCUACUGGGCCGAUACUGACGCUGAUGAUGCGAAAGCCAGGGGAGCGAACGGG